AGAGUUUGAUCAUGGCUCAGAACGAACGCUGGCGGCAGGCUUAACACAUGCAAGUCGAACGCACCGCAAGGUGAGUGGCAGACGGGUGAGUAACGCGUGGGAACGUGCCCUUCAGUUCGGGAUAACCCAGGGAAACUUGGGCUAAUACCGGAUACGUGCGAGAGCAGAAAGAUUUAUCGCUGAAGGAUCGGCCCGCGUCUGAUUAGCUAGUUGGUAGGGUAAUGGCCUACCAAGGCGACGAUCAGUAGCUGGUCUGAGAGGAUGAUCAGCCACAUUGGGACUGAGACACGGCCCAAACUCCUACGGGAGGCAGCAGUGGGGAAUAUUGGACAAUGGGCGCAAGCCUGAUCCAGCCAUGCCGCGUGAGUGAUGAAGGCCUUAGGGUUGUAAAGCUCUUUCGGCGGGGACGAUAAUGACGGUACCCGCAGAAGAAGCCCCGGCUAACUUCGUGCCAGCAGCCGCGGUAAUACGAAGGGGGCUAGCGUUGUUCGGAAUCACUGGGCGUAAAGGGCGCGUAGGCGGCCUGAUAAGUCGGGGGUGAAAGCCUGUGGCUCAACCACAGAAUUGCCUUCGAUACUGUCGGGCUUGAGACCGGAAGAGGUCAGUGGAACUGCGAGUGUAGAGGUGAAAUUCGUAGAUAUUCGCAAGAACACCAGUGGCGAAGGCGGCUGGCUGGUCCGGUUCUGACGCUGAGACGCGAAAGCUAGGGGAGCGAACAGGAUUAGAUACCCCAGUAGUCC
rnacentral:rRNA from 2 species